GGGUUGUGAGGUUAAGCGACUAAGCGUACACGGUGGAUGCCCUGGCAGUCAGAGGCGAUGAAGGACGUGCUAAUCUGCGAUAAGCGUCGGUAAGGUGAUAUGAACCGUUAUAACCGGCGAUUUCCGAAUGGGGAAACCCAGUGUGAUUCGUCACACUAUCAUUAACUGAAUCCAUAGGUUAAUGAGGCGAACCGGGGGAACUGAAACAUCUAAGUACCCCGAGGAAAAGAAAUCAACCGAGAUUCCCCCAGUAGCGGCGAGCGAACGGGGAGCAGCCCAGAGCCUGAAUCAGUGUGUGUGUUAGUGGAAGCGUCUGGAAAGGCGCGCGAUACAGGGUGACAGCCCCGUACACAAAAAUGCACAUGCUGUGAGCUCGAUGAGUAGGGCGGGACACGUGGUAUCCUGUCUGAAUAUGGGGGGACCAUCCUCCAAGGCUAAAUACUCCUGACUGACCGAUAGUGAACCAGUACCGUGAGGGAAAGGCGAAAAGAACCCCGGCGAGGGGAGUGAAAAAGAACCUGAAACCGUGUACGUACAAGCAGUGGGAGCCUCUUAAUGGGGUGACUGCGUACCUUUUGUAUAAUGGGUCAGCGACUUAUAUUCUGUAGCAAGGUUAACCGAAUAGGGGAGCCGAAGGGAAACCGAGUCUUAACUGGGCGUUAAGUUGCAGGGUAUAGACCCGAAACCCGGUGAUCUAGCCAUGGGCAGGUUGAAGGUUGGGUAACACUAACUGGAGGACCGAACCGACUAAUGUUGAAAAAUUAGCGGAUGACUUGUGGCUGGGGGUGAAAGGCCAAUCAAACCGGGAGAUAGCUGGUUCUCCCCGAAAGCUAUUUAGGUAGCGCCUCGUGAAUUCAUCUCCGGGGGUAGAGCACUGUUUCGGCAAGGGGGUCAUCCCGACUUACCAACCCGAUGCAAACUGCGAAUACCGGAGAAUGUUAUCACGGGAGACACACGGCGGGUGCUAACGUCCGUCGUGAAGAGGGAAACAACCCAGACCGCCAGCUAAGGUCCCAAAGUCAUGGUUAAGUGGGAAACGAUGUGGGAAGGCCCAGACAGCCAGGAUGUUGGCUUAGAAGCAGCCAUCAUUUAAAGAAAGCGUAAUAGCUCACUGGUCGAGUCGGCCUGCGCGGAAGAUGUAACGGGGCUAAACCAUGCACCGAAGCUGCGGCAGCGACACUAUGUGUUGUUGGGUAGGGGAGCGUUCUGUAAGCCUGCGAAGGUGUACUGUGAGGUAUGCUGGAGGUAUCAGAAGUGCGAAUGCUGACAUAAGUAACGAUAAAGCGGGUGAAAAGCCCGCUCGCCGGAAGACCAAGGGUUCCUGUCCAACGUUAAUCGGGGCAGGGUGAGUCGACCCCUAAGGCGAGGCCGAAAGGCGUAGUCGAUGGGAAACAGGUUAAUAUUCCUGUACUUGGUGUUACUGCGAAGGGGGGACGGAGAAGGCUAUGUUGGCCGGGCGACGGUUGUCCCGGUUUAAGCGUGUAGGCUGGUUUUCCAGGCAAAUCCGGAAAAUCAAGGCUGAGGCGUGAUGACGAGGCACUACGGUGCUGAAGCAACAAAUGCCCUGCUUCCAGGAAAAGCCUCUAAGCAUCAGGUAACAUCAAAUCGUACCCCAAACCGACACAGGUGGUCAGGUAGAGAAUACCAAGGCGCUUGAGAGAACUCGGGUGAAGGAACUAGGCAAAAUGGUGCCGUAACUUCGGGAGAAGGCACGCUGAUA
rnacentral:rRNA from 1 species